GGUGCUGUGAUUGAGAUGAUGAAACUUGAGCUUCAGCUGGUGGAUGCCUCAGAAACCAGAACAUGUAUUGGCGGCCCAAAGUUCAGGAAGGGGCGGAGUUUACCAGGAAUUGAAACUGAUUUCUGGCAGCUCCGAAGUUUUGAGUGUUCCCCCAGCUGUAGCAGCAAUACUGAUUUCUGUCAAGGCAAGGGUAACUCUCAUGGCAACAAUGAAACCGAGAAGGGUGAAAACACCCAGAAGCUGACAGCGUCUGAAGAGAAACAAGGAGGCAAAGCAUCAGCACACCAACAACGGCAAAUGCAGUAUGUUGGCCCAUAUGUCUUGGUAACUCCAAAUGAAACCAGAAGAAAACAGUUACAGCAAAUUGCUAAGAAAGAGCUCGAUGACCUGGAGCAAUGGAAGAAAGAACACAGGCCAGGGCCAAUUACAUUGGUGCCACAGAGACUGGGUGGAAACGAAUCAGAGGCUCAAGUACGACAAAGCCAACAAAUGAUUCUCAUUCAAUCUAAAUACCAGAAAAAGCACAAGAGAGAAGAGUAUGUAAAAGCAAAAAAGGCAGCUGAAGAAGCUGAAAUCCUGAAAAAGAAAGCAAUUCAGAGAGAAAAGGCAGAGAGACUUGAAGUUAAAAAAAGACAAGAAGAAAUGCAAAGAAGAGAGAUGCUUCUUGAAGAUCAAAAGUACAAAACCAAUGAAUUACUGAGCAGAUUGGACGUGGGUUUGCCAAAGAGUGAUUCCUGUCAGAUUGCUAAUCCUGGCCCAGAAUCUACAGCAUGGAAAAGAAGCCAUGCUCAUAAGCAAGCUCUUCGAGAGGAUGAAAACAGAAGAUUAGAGGAAAUGAGGCAAGAACAACGGAGGAAGGCUGAAUUAUUGGAAUUUAAACAAAAGCAGGAAGAGGAAACCAGGACAAGAGCACUUAAAAAUGAACAGAGGAGGGUAAAUAAUGCUUUCCUGGACCGACUCCAGAACAAAACACCGCCUAAUAAAAUCUAGCACCCUGGAUAUACUGGACUACCUCAAAAUUGGCACCUUGAAGGAUCAAGUUCCAUUAAAAAUGCUGCUUUCCCAGAACAAAGAAAAGGCUUUUCCUUAACAUGAGACUAUUGAGAAAAGAAUAUUUGUGUAAGAAGGAGUCAAACUACUUGGAAUAAAGGAGGAGCAAAGGUAUUGCAGAAAAAUUCACUUUUAUCUGGCCUAGGCCAAACAACCUCAUAAAAGCUCCAAGAAACUGCUCUUUAUUGUGAUUCUUUUCUUACCCUGACUUCAGCUGCACACCCUCUUCAUGAGCAAUCUGCAGAGACUGGUUUCUAGCUGUCAUUAUUCAGGCAUACAUAUUUGAAACAGCUGAUUAUGAAAGUCCUUUUUAAUUUUUAAUAAGAAUAUGUGUAAAUUUUUUUUCAUAAAUUGUUUUGCCUCAUGUAGAAUGUAAUUAUCCCAGUCUUCAUGAUCUCUGGAAAAGAAGACAUAAGUGACUGCAGAAGCUGCAGUAAUAUCUCUGUUUACUUGCUGCUCUUUACCCAGGGAAAAAAAACAUUUCAGAGACACUCUAAAAAAGCAGGUAGAGAGGGGUUUUUUGGGAAGAGGAGAAAUGUUGCUGGGGUUUUGUUUGUUUGUUUGUUUGUUUUCUGUUUGUUUUUGUGGAAGUUUUGUGAAAUUAUUUUACUCUUGUACUCUAUAGCAGACACUCAAGAAGAAAAAUGUGCGUUGUAGACAGUAUCUUUUAAAUAAGUUCUUAGGAAAAUACAUAACAUGAAAGAAAGAAAUAAAGCUUGAAAUAAAACUGAAA